rnacentral:rRNA from 1 species
AUUGAACGCUGGCGGCAGGCCUAACACAUGCAAGUCGAGCGCGCGGCGGACGGGUGAGUAAUGUAUGGGGACUGCCCGAUAGAGGGGGAUAACUACUGGAAACGGUAGCUAAUACCGCAUACUAUCGGAUAACCCAUAUGGGAUUAUCUAGUAGGUGAGGUAAUGGCUCACCAAGGCAACGAUCCGUAGCUGGUUUGAGAGGACGACCAGCCACACUGGGACUGAGACACGGCCCAGACUCCUACGGAGGCAGCAGUGGUGAAUUUUGGACAAUGGGGGAAACCCUGAUCCAGCCAUCCCGCGUGUAUGAUGAAGGCCUUCGGGUUGUAAAGUACUUUUGGCAGAGAAGCGGGAGCUGAAGAAUAAGCACCGGCUAACUACGUGCCAGCAGCCGCGGUAAUUG